rnacentral:rRNA from 1 species
GACGUAGGGCGCGAGCGUUGUCCGGAUUUAUUGGGCGUAAAGAGCUCGUAGGCGGCUUGUCGCGUCGACUGUGAAAACCCGCGGCUCAACUGUGGGCUUGCAGUCGAUACGGGCAGGCUGGAGUUCGGUAGGGGAGACUGGAAUUCCUGGUGUAGCGGUGAAAUGCGCAGAUAUCGGGAGGAACACCAAUGGCGAAGGCAGCUCGCUGGGACGUUACUGACGCUGAGACGCGAAAGCGUGGGGAGCAAACAGG